GAUCUGGAAGCCCAAGUCUCCUUGUCAAUGUCUGCUUGGUUCCCAAGGACAUAUGCAAAUGAAAGAGGGCCAUGGUACACAGAAGACAUUGCUGGAAAGUGUGCUCUUUUUACUAUUGGGUGUGGAAACUGAAGCUCAGAGAGGUUAAGUAGCUCACCUAACGUCCACCACUAGAUUCUGGUGUGUCGCUGGGCACAUGCAAGUUCCUGAGUCAGGGGAGAGCGCCCACCGGAGACUGCGGGCGGGAGCCGGCGACGGAGAACCGCAUGCCCAACUCUCUGGCGUGAGUACGCAGGCCUCCUCCCACGGUCUCGGGAAGCCCAGA